rnacentral:rRNA from 1 species
UACGAAGGGGGCUAGCGUUGCUCGGAAUCACUGGGCGUAAAACGCACGUAGGCGGCUUUUUAAGUCAGGGGUGAAAUCCUGGAGCUCAACUCCAGAACUGCCUUUGAUACUGAAGAUCUUGAGUCCGGGAGAGGUGAGUGGAACUGCGAGUGUAGAGGUGAAAUUCGUAGAUAUUCGCAAGAACACCAGUGGCGAAGGCGGCUCACUGGCCCGGUACUGACGCUGAGGC